UCCCUGAUGGUUCAGAUGGUAAAGAAUCUGCCUGCAAUGCAGGAGACCCAGGUUCGAUUCCUGGGUCGGGAA
rnacentral:tRNA from 1 species